GCAGCCGUGGCCGAGUGGUUAAGGCGAUGGACUAGAAAACCAUUGAGGUCUCCCCGCACAGGUUCGAAUCCUGUCGACUGCG
rnacentral:tRNA from 1 species